rnacentral:rRNA from 1 species
GUAGGGAAUAUUGGACAAUGGGGGGAACCCUGAUCCAGCCAUGCCGCGUGGAGGAAGACUGCCCUCUGGGUUGUAAACUCCUUUUAUAUGGGAAGAACCGUCCUCAUUAAUGAGUGACCUGACGGUACCAUAGGAAUAAGCACCGGCUAACUCCGUGCCAGCAGCCGCGGUAAUACGGAGGGUGCAAGAGUUAUCCGGAUUCACUGGGUUUAAAGGGGGCGUAGGCGGAUAAAUAAGUCAGUGGUGAAAUCAACGGGCUCAACCUGUUAACUGCCAUUGAUACUGUGUAUCUUGAAUAUGAGAGAGGUAGGCGGAAUGUUGCAUGUAGCGGUGAAAUGCUUAGAUAUGCUACGGAACACCGAUUGCGAAGGCAGCUUACUAUUUCGUAAUUGACGCUGAGGCACGAAAGCGUGGGUAGCGAACAGGAUUAGAAACCCCGGUAGUCC